UACAGAGGGGGGCAAGCGUUGUUCGGAAUUACUGGGCGUAAAGGGCGCGUAGGUGGCCUUCUAAGUUGAACGUGAAAUCCCUGGGCUCAACCCAGGAACUGCGUCCAAGACUGGGAGGCUUGAAUCCGGGAGAGGGAUGCGGAAUUCCAGGUGUAGCGGUGAAAUGCGUAGAUAUCUGGAGGAACACCGGUGGCGAAGGCGGCAUCCUGGACCGGUAUUGACACUGAGGCGCGAAAGCCAGGGGAGCAAACGGGG
rnacentral:rRNA from 1 species